rnacentral:rRNA from 1 species
ACGGGGGGGGCAAGCGUUGUUCGGAAUUACUGGGCGUAAAGGGUUCGUAGGUGGUCUGCUAAGUCAGACGUGAAAUCCCUCAGCUUAACUGGGGAACUGCGUCUGAUACUGGCGGACUUGAGGACAGGAGAGGAACGCGGAAUUCCAGGUGUAGCGGUGAAAUGCGUAGAUAUCUGGAGGAACACCGGUGGCGAAGGCGGCAUUCUGGACCACAACUGACACUGAGAGACGAAAGCCAGGGGAGCAAACGGGA